rnacentral:rRNA from 1 species
AGCGAACGCUGGCGGCAGGCCUAACACAUGCAAGUCGAACGGAUCCUUCGGGAUUAGUGGCGGACGGGUGAGUAACACGUGGGAACGUGCCCUUUGGUUCGGAACAACUCAGGGAAACUUGAGCUAAUACCGGAUGUGCCCUUCGGGGGAAAGAUUUAUCGCCAUUGGAGCGGCCCGCGUCUGAUUAGCUAGUUGGUGAGGUAAAGGCUCACCAAGGCGACGACCAGUAGCUGGUCUGAGAGGAUGAUCAGCCACAUUGGGACUGAGACACGGCCCAAACUCCGCCGCGAGGCAGCAGUGGGGAAUCUUGCGCAAUGGGCGAAAGCCUGACCCAGCCAUGCCGCGUGAAUGAUGAAGGUCUUAGGAUUGUAAAAUUCUUUCACCGGGGACGAUAAUGACGGUACCCGGAGAAGAAGCCCCGGCUAACUUCGUGCCAGCCGCCGCCGUAAGAC